rnacentral:rRNA from 1 species
CCUACGGGGGGCAGCAGUGGGGAAUAUUGCACAAUGGGCGCAAGCCUGAUGCAGCCAUGCCGCGUGUGUGAAGAAGGCCUUCGGGUUGUAAAGCACUUUCAGCGGGGAGGAAGGCGGUGAGGUUAAUAACCUCAUCGAUUGACGUUACCCGCAGAAGAAGCACCGGCUAACUCCGUGCCAGCAGCCGCGGUAAUACGGAGGGUGCAAGCGUUAAUCGGAAUUACUGGGCGUAAAGCGCACGCAGGCGGUCUGUCAAGUCAGAUGUGAAAUCCCCGGGCUCAACCUGGGAACUCCAUUCGAAACUGGCAGGCUAGAGUCUUGUAGAGGGGGGUAGAAUUCCAGGUGUAGCGGUGAAAUGCGUAGAGAUCUGGAGGAAUACCGGUGGCGAAGGCGGCCCCCUGGACAAAGACUGACGCUCAGGUGCGAAAGCGUGGGGAGCAAACAGGAUUAGAUACCCGAGUAGUC